rnacentral:misc_RNA from 1 species
UCCGGUUUGACACCGGCAGUCUCCUAUGAGUCCCCGACAUGACUCGCUGGCAACAUAGGACAGGGGUUGCGCUCGUUGCGGGACUUAACCCAACACCUCACGGCACGAGCUGACGUCAACCAUGCACCACCUGUAUACGGCCCCGAAGGACACCAUAUCUCUGAGCGUUUCCUGUGCAGUUCAAACCCAGGUAAGGUUCUGCGCGUUGCUUCGAAUUAAACCACAUACUCCACCGCUUGUGCGGGCCCCCGUCAAUUCCUUUGAGUUUCAGUCUUGCGACCGUACUCCCCAGGCGGCGAACUUAACGCGUUAGCUUCGAUACUGCGUGCCAAAUUGCACCCAACAUCCAGUUCGCAUCGUUUAGGGCGUGGACUAC